GACGAACGCUGGCGGCGUGCUUAACACAUGCAAGUCGAACGGAAAGGCCCUGCUUUUGUGGGGUGCUCGAGUGGCGAACGGGUGAGUAACACGUGAGUAACCUGCCCUUGACUUUGGGAUAACUUCAGGAAACUGGGGCUAAUACCGGAUAGGAGCUCCUGCUGCAUGGUGGGGGUUGGAAAGUUUCGGCGGUUGGGGAUGGACUCGCGGCUUAUCAGCUUGUUGGGGGGGUAGUGGCUUACCAAGGCUUUGACGGGUAGCCGGCCUGGGAGGGUGACCGGCCACCUUGGGACUUGAGAUACGGCCCAGACUCCUACGGGCGGCAGCAGUGGGGAAUAUUGCACAAUGGGCGGAAGCCUGAUGCAGCAACGCCGCGUGCGGGAUGACGGCCUCCGGGUUGUAAACCGCUUUCGCCUGUGACGAAGCGUGAGUGACGGUAAUUGGUAAAGAAGCACCGGCUAACUACGUG
rnacentral:rRNA from 1 species